GCGGGUGAUGCCCUUGGUGCGCUCCCAGCCUACACGGUGACUGGGCGAGCAAAGGUGUUGCCGUCAGGACGUCCCUUUGACUGAGAGCCUGUGACGCGUAGCGGUGGAAGUCCGGCCGCCUGCUCCUGGAGUCUGGGGAAUGUGAGGAGUCCAAGGGACCACAUGUGAUGUCUCUGUACCUCCAGCAUCUAUCACUGGGGCUGAGAUGCAUAUUAGGCAGUGAGGUGACAUUUGUGAACAUAUGAACAUGGACUCAGAGUUGCUAAUUUCUAAGGUCUCCGCCAAGUCCAAAACUGUCCGAGGAGCCCUUACUCAGAAUUCUUGGCUGCUGUGACGUCACUCUCUGGGUCAGUGUGUCCAGGUCUCUGCCUGUGGCCUCUCC